rnacentral:rRNA from 1 species
AAGAAUACUUGCUAUUAUUAAAAAGACAAUAAACAUUAUUAAGAAAAAUAAUUUUAUAUGAAAGAGUGUGAAGUAGGCAUAAGAAACAUAUAUUCAGGCUUAAGAAAAUAAGUAUCGAGAGAGAAAGUUGAAAUAAUUUGAAAAUUUACUUAAUUUAAAGAAAAUGUCAAAAGUUGUACCUCGUGUAUCAGGGAGAGUCUAAAUUAACCAGCGAAGCUAGGAAUCCCGAAAAAAGAAAAGCUAAGAUAAAAUAAUCGUUAUAGUAUUAAAUAUAUGAAAAAUUUUCUCUUAGUGGUGAAACAUCAAUCGGGUCUUUUUAUAUCUGGUUUUCUUAAAAAUAAAUUUAAUUUAGCUUCAGUAACAAAACAAAGUAUUGGGGUAAAAAACAGGAGGUAAAAGCUUCUUGUUAAAAAAAUGCGUGAGCUUAUUAAAAAUAAAAAUAUUUAGGUUAGGCUUAAAAGUAGCCAGAUUUUUAAAGUGUUUUAACUAAAAAGGUUUGUAAAUAAAAUUUUUAUAGGGUUUGCAAAAAGUAUAAGAAUAUUUUAUUAAACUAAAAAUUCAAAGAAAAAAUGAUUUUAUUAGUAUAGAUAAUUUGGUAUAAAAGUAAAAAUUAAAAUAAAAGAAAAAUUUUUAGGUUUCUCUGCUUAGUGAAAGGAACUCGGCAAAAAAAGUUUCUGCCUGUUUAUCAAAAACAUGUCUUUACGGUGUUUAUGUAAAGUCUAGCCUGCCCAGUGACGUUAAGUUUAAAGGCCGCGGUAUACUGACCGUGCGAAGGUAGCAUAAUGAUUUGUUCUUUAAUUGAGGACUUGUAUGAAUGGUUGAACAAGAAACUAUCUGUCUCUCACUUAUUCCUUGAAUUUUACAUUUAAGUGAAAAGGCUUAAAUAAACUAGGGGGACGAUAAGACCCUAUAAAUCUUUAUAUUUGCUCAGCCAAAAAAUGUGUAUUAGGGCCAAAAAUAUAUUUUUUGGUGGGGUGAUAUUUUGUUGGGGCGACAGGAGUAUAAUAAGUAACUGCUUUAAAAGUUUAAUUAGAUAUAUUUAGUUUGAGUGUUAAAAGAUCCUUUAGUAAGGAUUAUUAAAAUAAGUUACUUUAGGGAUAACAGCGUAAUCUCUUUUGAGAGUUCAUAUCGAAAAAGAGGAUUGCGACCUCGAUGUUGAAUUAAGGAUCCUUUGUGGUGCAGCCGUUACAAAAGGAGGUCUGUUCGACCUUUAAAUCUUUACAUGAUUUGAGUUCAGACCGGCGUGAGCCAGGUCGGUUUCUAUCUCCUAGAAAAUGAUAAACUUUUUUAGUACGAAAGGAUUGAAAAGUUGAAAUAUUUUUAUAAGUUUCGAAUA